rnacentral:rRNA from 1 species
GAUGAACGCUGGCGGCGUGCCUAAUACAUGCAAGUCGAGCGAACAGACGAGGAGCUUGCUCCUCUGACGUUAGCGGCGGACGGGUGAGUAACACGUGGAUAACCUACCUAUAAGACUGGGAUAACUUCGGGAAACCGGAGCUAAUACCGGAUAAUAUAUUGAACCGCAUGGUUCAAUAGUGAAAGACGGUUUUGCUGUCACUUAUAGAUGGAUCCGCGCCGCAUUAGCUAGUUGGUAAGGUAACGGCUUACCAAGGCGACGAUGCGUAGCCGACCUGAGAGGGUGAUCGGCCACACUGGAACUGAGACACGGUCCAGACUCCUACGGGAGGCAGCAGUAGGGAAUCUUCCGCAAUGGGCGAAAGCCUGACGGAGCAACGCCGCGUGAGUGAUGAAGGUCUUCGGAUCGUAAAACUCUGUUAUUAGGGAAGAACAAAUGUGUAAGUAACUAUGCACGUCUUGACGGUACCGAAGCAGAAAGCCACGGCUAACUACGU